CAGCAGCAGCCACGGGAAUACGGAGGGUGCAAGCGUUAUCCGGAUUUAUUGGGUUUAAAGGGUCCGUAGGCGGAUCUGUAAGUCAGUGGUGAAAUCUCACAGCUUAACUGUGAAACUGCCAUUGAUACUGCAGGUCUUGAGUAAAUUUGAAGUGGCUGGAAUAAGUAGUGUAGCGGUGAAAUGCAUAGAUAUUACUUAGAACACCAAUUGCGAAGGCAGGUCACUAAGAUUUAACUGACGCUGAUGGACGAAAGCGUGGGGAGCGAACAGGAUUAGAUACCCCCGUAGUCCCUGUCUCUUAUAC
rnacentral:rRNA from 1 species